UUAGAUUUGUGCCAAUAGGAUCAAGAAAAACACUUUGGAGAGCAAACAAAUUUUAAGACAUUGAGAGAAAAAACCUUGGUUUCAAAAGAAAAACUUACGAUCUGAAUCAGAUUCUUAAAAUGAUCAAGAAAAACACUUUGACGGUCAAACAAAAAUUAAGAAAUUGACAGAACAAAAAUAUUGACUAAAGGAAAAAAACAUGUUUCAAAAGUAAAACUUACUAUCUGAAUCAACUUCUUAAAAUGAGUAACAAAGUAUGUUUCCUUUUUCUGUUUGCCUCUAUGUGUUUUUGUUAUCAAUUUCCUUAGUUUUGUUCUCUCUGCUCAGAGCUUUGCUCUCACUUCCAGAUUUGCACUUACACUGUCUGGCUUUCUCCUUUGCAAUCCCUGAGUUUUUGGUUGCAAUUCUGACACAACCCUUUCGGGUGGGCGGGACUUCUGAGAAGUCCUCUCCCAUAGGACAGUGGUUUCUCUUGAGUGACAGUUCAGUGACCUGGAAGUGAUGUAGCCUCCAAGACAUUUUUUUCCACCUGGUCAACAACAUGAAUUUUGAGCCCCAAACAGGUUAUUUCUGCUGUCUGUGGUGUCUACUGAGGAUCUAAAGAACCUGUGGAACAUCAGAGACUUUGCAGCUAUUAGAGCUAACCUGUGUACUGCUAACUUGCUACAGAGGAAGCAGCAGAAAGCUGAGCUAACAGGCUGUUUUGCAGGUAAUCCUCGGGUGUCAGCAGGAGGAGGUGACCACCUGCAUAACGGAGCACCCUGGUUCUGAGCCAGUUGCACCUUUGUGCAGCUCUUUGGGGAGACGAUGCUCAGCAGACACAUUUCUCCAUGUGGUCAGGUGGUGUUGGUGUGAUCUGGGAGGGCACACUCAUGUCGUCAUCUCUUUGUGCCGUCUCCAGGAUCCUGAUGGGAGUUCUCUGUGCCUAUAAAGCAGGAGUAUUUACUUCUGGGCCUGGAGGGCCGGUAUCCAGCACGUUUUAGUUUUAACUCUGUUUCAAUACACCUGAUUUCAGUCAGCAGAUAAUUAACAGGCUUCUGCAGAGCUGCUGCACAGGUAAUUCAACCACUGAUUCAAGUGUGUUGGAGCAGGGAAACAACUAAAACGUGCUGGAUACCAGCCAUCCAGGACUAGAAUUGAAUACCCCUGCUAUAAAGCCUUCCUCCCUCCUCCGGACUUUAAACAUUAGUAUUUUAUUAUGGUUUACCUGAUUUAGUAAAUAAAUCUCAAUUUAUAAAUUUCCUGUUUUGGUGCCUGUCCAUAAAAUCCUGCAUUAGACACCGAAAGCUGAAUGGAUGCCUUUCAUUCACUUUGACAUUCAAUGUAUUUUUAAAGAUACACUUGAAAUUAAUAUCAGCUGUUUAACAGAGUGGUGCAAAGUAAUUGCUGAUGUCAUGAUUUUUGCAACAACCUGACCUUCAUGCAGAGAAACUCAGGAGACAAAUGAGCUAAAAACAGUUUAUUAAAAUGUUUGACGGAUGACUGAAGAGGUAACAGCUGGAGAUCAGGAACCAGAAGCUUCUGCGAGGAAGAGCAGAGGUUAGUAAGAGGCAACAGGUCAGGGUUUUCUUAGACUGUGCAGGUAGCUUACAGAGUCUGAGAAACACCACAGAGAUGGAGCCACAGGUUUUAGUGUUUAAAGAUCAGAAGGCCCUGAGGUAAAAUUGAGUGUUAGUAAUGACUAAAGAAUGACUUACAAAAGGAAAAGUUUAGGUACUUACGGUCUAAAAUUGUAGCGCAGACGGGAGACAGCAGAAUGGUGGCGAAACAACCAGAAGUCUGGGAGAAUGACAGCAUGAGUAGCAAGCGGGUGAGCAGAAGGUAGUGGGUAAGCCGACUGCCAGUAUGGUUGUGUGAUCAGGAGCUUCAAGGAAAGAAUUCCCAUAGAUCUGCAUAGAACAUGAGAACGUAAGUUUGAAAAACGGCAGAGUCAUGGGCUAGAUAUGGGUUAAAACACUCUGAUGAGUGACCAGCUACCAGCUUUUAUUCAAGGAUGGGGUUACAGGUGUGUGAGGAUGUGCCUGCCCCAUGAGAAGAGUUUUCAGGUAAGCCUCUCCAUGGUGCUCUGCAAUGGUGACUAGCAAGGCUAAUGAAGAGAUUAAAGGGAACACAAACCCAGGACUCCGACCCAAACUCCUAACAGCAACACAACGACUCCUCCCACAGGCGGUUGUUCCACGGAGCACGCAGCUGCCCGAAGUUCAGCAUCAGGCAACCUGUAGGCGAUGUAAUCAUACGUGGCUUCUGAGCAUGCAAGU